rnacentral:misc_RNA from 1 species
ACUUGUACUCUGUAAAAUGUUAA